CCCUUAGAUGUUCUGGGCCGCACGCGCGCUACACUGAUGCAUUCAACGAGUUUCUUCCUGGUCCGAGAGGAAUGGGUAACCUUUUGAAAGUGCAUCGUGAUAGGGAUAGACUAUUGCAAUUGUUGGUCUUCAACGAGGAAUUCCUAGUAGACGUAGUUCAUCAGACUGCAUCGAUUACGUCCCUGCCCUUUGUACACACCGCCCGUCGCUCCUACCGAUUGAAUGCUCAGGUGAGCCAUUCGGACUUUCAUCAUGCUGGUUUCCAGUUUUGAUGAAGGAAAGUCUUGCGAACCUUAUCAUUUAGAGGAAGGAGAAGUCGUAACA
rnacentral:rRNA from 1 species